rnacentral:rRNA from 1 species
UACGUAGGGGUGCAAGCGUUGUCCGGAAUUAUUGGCGUAAAGGAGCUACGUAGGCGGUUUGUCGCGUCUGCUGUGAAAAACUCGGGCUUAACUCCGGGCCCUGCAGUGGGUACGGGCUAGAACUAGAGUGCGGUAGGGGAGACUGGAAUUCCUGGUGUAGCGGUGAAAUGCGUAGAGAAUCGGGAGGAACACCCGUGGCGCAGGCGGCCC